UGAAGGCAGGAGGUCAUGAUCAUUGCCAUAUCCCUCCAGGGCCCGUCACAGGGCCAGGCACGUAGUAAGCCCUUAAUACUCGAAGAAUGAAUGGGGACAACCUUCACCCAGUGGGAAAUACCAGUCACUGGAUAAGCUCCCAGGAAUCUCAGCCUUUGGAGAGACAACUGUAAGGCUCUCUUGGCACCUCUCAGUCAUGACAGUAAUGUUACCACAGUAGAAGUCAGCUUACAAUCUGUCACCUGCCCUGGAGUGUAGGCUUCCACCCAGGAGAGGCCAUCUUAUUCAUUAUUGGACAUCUAGUAAGGAUAUUCACUGUUGGGACCCAUGCCAUGAGGAAGCCCAGGCCACACUGAGAGGCCCACGUGGAACCAAGCCCAAAGUCCUGAGCUCCAGGCCCUGGCUGAGCUCCAGCUGAAAACCAGCACCAACCUGCCAGCCGUGCAAGUGAGCAAUCCCGGAAGUGGGUAAUCCACCCAGUGAUGCCUGUACAGCAGAGACAAGUCUUCCCUUCCAAGCCCUGCCCAGGUUACAGACUCAUGGACAAAAUAAAUUAUUGUGUUGUUUUAACCCA